UUUUGAAUGUCAAUGUUAGAU
rnacentral:piRNA from 1 species